rnacentral:rRNA from 1 species
AUCUGGCUCCUCUGGAGUCCGAAUUGUAAUUUGUAGAAGAUGCUUUGGGUUGUGGGUUCGGCCUAAGUUCCUUGGGACAGGACGUCAUAGAGGGUGAGAAUCCCGUAUGUGGCCGAGGCCCGCGCCUAUGUAAAGCUCUUUCAACGAGUCGAGUUGUUUGGGAAUGCAGCUCAAAAUGGGUGGUAAAUUUCAUCUAAAGCUAAAUAUGGGCCAGAGACCGAUAGCGCACAAGUAGAGUGAUCGAAAGAUGAAAAGCACUUUGGAAAGAGAGUUAAACAGUACGUGAAAUUGUUGAAAGGGAAGCGCUUGCACCCAGACUUGGGCGCUGCCGAUCACCUUGAGGUCUCCUCGAGUGCACUCGACAGCGCACAGGCCAGCAUCGGUUCGGGUGGCUGGAUAAAGGCCGUAGGAACGUAGCUCUCUUCGGGGAGUGUUAUAGCCUACGGUGCCAUGCAGCCCAGCCGGACCGAGGACCGCGCCUUCGGGCUAGGAUGCUGGCGUAAUGGGUGUAAGCGACCCGUCUUGAAACACGGACCAAGGAGUCUAACAUCUAUGCGAGUGUUUGGGUGCUAAACCCAUACGCGGAAUGAAAGUGAACGUAGGUGAGAACCCCCUUUGGGGGUGCAUCAUCGACCGAUCCUGAUGUCUUCGGAUGGAUUUGAGUAAGAGCAUAG